GGAAGGGUGGCCGAGCGGCUUAAGGCGCACGCCUCGAAAGCGUGUAUCCCGGCAACGGGAUCGUGGGUUCAAAUCCCACCCCUUCCGCCA
rnacentral:tRNA from 1 species